rnacentral:tRNA from 3 species
GCGCCCAUAGCUUAACAGGAUAGAGUACGGGUUUCCGAAGCCUGUGGAGUGAGUUCGAGUCUCGCUGGGCGCACCA